CACUGAGUCGGUGCCUGCGUACGUUUUAUGAAGUGGAUCUCCGGCGUACGCAAAAAACUUCAUGCUCCGAUGCCGGUCCUGCUUUCCAUCGAUGGACAAACCGGCACGGCUCUAAUUGAUAAUGAUUGGACUGCGAUAUUUAUGGAUGGACGAGGAAGAAAAGGUUGUUGCAUUGUAUUUCCAUUUGUAAAGUAUCGGUCGCUGAAGGCGUUAAGUGUCCAUUAUGCGGGACCGUAAUUACCAUCUGCACGCCCAACAGGGUCAUCCGAGGCCUCCAAAAGGAAACUAGAAGAGCAGACCGAGACACGACGUGAGCAUCGCACCCAAAACAAUUUUCUCGAUUCGCAAAAAACAACAAAUUUUAUUAUUUAAAAUUUCUGAUUUAAUUAUACGAGUAGGUAUUGUUUUAGAAAAGGAAGGUGUGUGCAAUUUAUUUAUUUGUAAAAUUAUUUUCAAUAAAUCUUUUAGCUACAA